UCUGUUCUAAAUCUCAUGUCACAACCAUCAGGUUGUAACUACGGUAUAACUAUAGCAGUGUCUUGGUGCGAACUGUUCAUCAUUAGCUUCAUGCUGUGUUCUCUAAUCCUACUUCAAAUCCAUCAUAAUCUGUUCUAAUUCAUUCAUUAAAGUAUCACUGGAGUAUACAGGCAUACAGCAACAAAUUCAAGCACGAGUAAGCUGAAUCGAGG
rnacentral:lncRNA from 1 species